rnacentral:rRNA from 1 species
AGUGAACGCUGGCGGUAGGCCUAACACAUGCAAGUCGAACGGCAGCACAGUAAGAGCUUGCUCUUACGGGUGGCGAGUGGCGGACGGGUGAGGAAUACAUCGGAAUCUACUUUUUCGUGGGGGAUAACGUAGGGAAACUUACGCUAAUACCGCAUAAGACCUACGGGUGAAAGCAGGGGAUCUUCGGACCUUGCGCGAUUGAAUGAGCCGAUGUCGGAUUAGCUAGUUGGCGGGGUAAAGGCCCACCAAGGCGACGAUCCGUAGCCGGUCUGAGAGGAUGAUCAGCCACACUGGAACUGAGACACGGUCCAGACCCCUACGGGAGGCAGCAGUGGGGAAUAUUGGACAAUGGGCGCAAGCCUGAUCCAGCCAUACCGCGUGGGUGAAGAAGGCCUUCGGGUUGUAAAGCCCUUUUGUUGGGAAAGAAAAGCAGCAGGUUAAUACCCCGCUGUUCUGACGGUACCCAAAGAAUAAGCACCGGCUAACUUCGUG